rnacentral:rRNA from 1 species
UACGAAGGGUGCAAGCGUUACUCGGAAUUACUGGGCGUAAAGCGUGCGUAGGCGGUUUGUUAAGUCCGUUGUGAAAGCCCUGGGCUCAACCUGGGAAUUGCAGUGGAUACUGGCGAGCUAGAGUGCGGUAGAGGAUGGUGGAAUUCCCGGUGUAGCGGUGAAAUGCGUAGAUAUCGGAAGGAACAUCAGUGGCGAAGGCGGCUAUCUGGACAACAACUGACACUGAGGCACGAAAGCGUGGGGAGCAAACAGG